GAUGAACGCUGACAGAAUGCUUAACACAUGCAAGUCUUUGGCGAAGCUGUGCUUGCACAGCCUAGCCAAGGCGGACGGGUGAGUAACGCGUAAGGAACUUGCCCUGCAGUCAGGGAUAACAGACGGAAACGACUGAUAAGACCUGGUAAAGUCAGGCGGACUCAUGUCCUGCCUGAUGAAAAGAGAUGCUGCAGGAGAGCCUUGCGUCCUAUUAGCUUGUUGGUGGGGUAACGGCCCACCAAGGCGAUGAUAGGUAGCCGGCCUGAGAGGGUGGACGGCCACAGGGGGACUGAGAUACGGCCCUUACUCCUACGGGAGGCAGCAGUGGGGAAUAUUGGACAAUGGGGGCAACCCUGAUCCAGCAAUUCUGUGUGCACGAUGAAGGUUUUCGGAUUGUAAAGUGCUUUCAGCAGGGAAGAAAAAAAUGACGGUACCUGCAGAAGAAGCGACGGCUAAAUACGUG
rnacentral:rRNA from 1 species